CAGGUAUGGUUAAGUGGUAUAACAUCAGCUUCCCAAGCUGAAUUUGCGGGUUCGAUUCCCGCUACCUG
rnacentral:tRNA from 1 species